rnacentral:rRNA from 1 species
UACGAAGGGGACUAGCGUUGUUCGGAUUUACUGGGCGUAAAGCGCGCGUAGGCGGAUCGCUAAGUCAGGGGUGAAAUCCCCGGGCUCAACCUGGGAACUGCAUUUGUGACUGCAUGGCUGGAGUGCGGCAGAGGGGGAUGGAAUUCCGCGUGUAGCAGUGAAAUGCGUAGAGAUGCGGAGGAACACCGAUGGCGAAGGCAGCCCCCUGGGCUAACACUGACGCUCAGGCACGAAAGCGUGGGGAGCAAACAGG